AGAAUCAACGCUGGCGGCGUGCCUAACACAUGCAAGUCGAACGAGAAAGUGGAGCAAUCCAUGAGUAAAGUGGCGCACGGGUGAGUAACACGUGACUAACCUACCCUUGAGUGGGGGAUAACCUAGAGAAAUCUGGGCUAAUACCGCAUAAUACCUUCGGGUCAAAGGAGCAAUUCGCUUUAGGAGGGGGUCGCGGCCGAUUAGUUAGUUGGCGGGGUAAUGGCCCACCAAGACUGUGAUCGGUAUCCGGCCUGAGAGGGCGCACGGACACACUGGAACUGAAACACGGUCCAGACUCCUACGGGAGGCAGCAGUGGGGAAUUUGCGCAAUGGGGGAAACCCUGACGCAGCAACGCCGCGUGGAGGAUGAAGUCCCUUGGGACGUAAACUCCUUUCGAUCGGGACGAUUAUGACGGUACCGGAAGAAGAAGCCCGGCUAACUUCGCGCCAGCAGCCGC
rnacentral:rRNA from 1 species